GGUCCGGUGGUCCACUGGUAAGCGUGUCGGGCCUCACAAUGCAGAGGUACAGGGUUCGAUUCUGGCUCCGGCCUCCCUAUGGUAUUGUGUUUGCAUGUUUUCCCUGUGCCUGCGUGGGUUUUCUCCGGGCACUCCGGUUUCCUCUCACAUUCCAAAAGCAUGCAUGGCA